rnacentral:rRNA from 1 species
CCUACGGGUGGCUGCAGUGGGGAAUAUUGCGCAAUGUGCGAAAGCCUGACGCAGCGCCGCCGCGUGAGGGAUGAAGGUCUUCGGAUCGUAAAACUCUGUCAGCAGGGAAGAACGGUCACUGUACUAAUCAGCAGUGAAUUGACGGUACCUACAAAGGAAGCACCGGCUAACUCCGUGCCAGCAGCCGCGGUAAUACGGAGGGUGCGAGCGUUAAUCGGAAUUACUGGGCGUAAAGCGCUCGUAGGCGGUAUUUCAAGUCAAGGGUGAAAUCCCCGCGCUAAACGUGGGAAAUGCCUUUGAAACUGGCAAACUGGAGUGUAUGAGAGGAGAGUGGAAUUCCAGGUGUAGGA